UGAUUGUAGGGAGAUGGCAUACCUCCCGCAAGAAUAACCGCCGUCUCGGCUGAUGAUGCCUACAGGAUC
rnacentral:ncRNA from 2 species